GGCGGCGUAGCUCAGCUGGCUAGAGCGUACGGUUCAUACCCGUAAGGUCGGGGGUUCGAUUCCCUCCGCCGCUA
rfam:Anoxybacillus flavithermus strain 25 c165, whole genome shotgun sequence.